AUACGGGAGGCAGCAGUGGGGAAUUUUGCACAAUGGGGGAAACCCUGAUGCAGCAACGCCGCGUGGAGGAUGAAGUCCCUUGGGAUGUAAACUCCUUUCGACCGGGACGAUUAUGACGGUACCGGUGGAAGAAGCCCCGGCUAACUCUGUGCCAGCAGCCGCGGUAAUACAGAGGGGGCAAGCGUUGUUCGGAAUUAUUGGGCGUAAAGGGUGCGUAGGCGGUGCGGUAAGUCUUCUGUGAAAUCUACGGGCUCAACUCGUAGUCUGCAGGAGAAACUGCCGUGCUUGAGUAUGGGAGAGGUGAGUGGAAUUCCUGGUGUAGCGGUGAAAUGCGUAGAUAUCAGGAGGAACACCUGUGGCGAAAGCGGCUCACUGGACCAUAACUGACGCUGAGGCACGAAAGCUAGGGGAGCAAACAGGAUUAGAUACCCCGGUAGU
rnacentral:rRNA from 1 species